AUUCCAGCUCCAAUAGCGUAUAUUAAAGUUGUUGCGGUUAAAAAGCUCGUAGUUGGAUUUCUGUUGAGGUUGGGCGGUCCGCACUACGUGCGAGUAUCUGCUUCGGCCUUGGCAUCCUCUCGGAAAACGCUACUGUGCUUGAUUGCAUGGUGCGGGGUUCGGGACUUUUACUUUGAGGAAAUUAGAGUGUUCACGGCAGGCAAUCGCCCUGAAUAUAUUAGCAUGGAAUAAUAAUAUAGGAUCUGAUGCCUAUUUUGUUGGUUUCUAGGCGUGAGAUAAUGAUUAAUAGGGACAAUUGGGGGGACUCGUAUUAUGGCGUCAGAGGUGGAAUUCUUGGAUUGCCAUACGAUGAACUACUGCUAAAGCAUUUCUCAGGGAUGUUUUCAUUA
rnacentral:rRNA from 1 species